UCGGAAACAGAGUGCUGUGUUGUGGAAU
rnacentral:piRNA from 1 species